GAUGAACGCUGGCGGCGUGCCUAAUACAUGCAAGUCGAACGAACAGACGAGGCGUUUGCGCCUCUGUCGUUAGCGGCGGGCGGGUGAGAAACGCGUGGAUAACCUACCUAUAAGACUGGGAUAACUUCGGGAAACCGGAGCUAAUAACAUAUAAUAUAUUGAACCGCAUGGGGCAGUAGUGAAAUACGGUUUUUCGGUCACUUCUCGACGUAUCCGCGCGGCAUUAGCUAGUUGGUAAGGUAACGGGUUACCAAGGGAACGAUCCGUGGACGACCGGGGCGGCGGAUAGGCGGCCUGAGAAGUGAGACAGGCACAAGAGGCCUACGGGAGGGAGCAGUAGGGAACCGGCCGCAGUGGGCGAAAGCCUGACGGAGUAAGGGCGCGUGAGAGAUGGAGGUGCUCGGUGCGGAAAACUCUGCUAUGAGGGAAAAACCAAUGUGUAAGUAGAUAUGCAGGUAUUGACGGUACCUAAUCAGAAAGCCCCGGCUAACUACGUG
rnacentral:rRNA from 1 species